UCGUCAGCUCGUGUCGUGAGAUGUUGGGUUAAGUCCCGCAACGAGCGCAACCCCUAUUGUUAGUUGCUACCAUUAAGUUGAGCACUCUAGCGAGACUGCCUGGGUUAACCAGGAGGAAGGUGGGGAUGACGUCAAAUCAUCAUGCCCCUUAUGUGUAGGGCUACACACGUGCUACAAUGGCAAGUACAGAGAGACGCAAAACCGUGAGGUCGAGCAAAUCCCUUAAAACUUGUCCCAGUUCGGAUUGUAGGCUGAAACUCGCCUACAUGAAGCCGGAGUUGCUAGUAAUCGCGAAUCAGAAUGUCGCGGUGAAUACGUUCCCGGGUCUUGUACACACCGCCCGUCACACCAUGAGAGUUGGCAAUACCCAACGUCCGUGAGCUAACCGCAAGGAGGCAGCGGCCUAAGGUAGGGUCAGCGAUUGGGGUGAAGUCGUAACAAGGUAGCC
rnacentral:rRNA from 1 species